CCCUUCCCGAGGAAGAGGUGGGCGAGGACCUAGUAGGGGUGCUAGUAGGGGUGCCGCAGCAGCCAGCCACGUUCCUCUGCCUGUGGCCGGGGUGUGGAGGACACCUAUCUGCCCUCGGGAAACAUGCUGGAUUCCCUCGUCCCACUCCACUGGGCUCCUUUUCAAACUCGUUUGCUCCUGGUGAUCACUCGUGCUCCUUAUCCCUGUUGUAAAGGCCGAUCCCCUGCCCUUACUCCAUUAGGGUCACUACAGGAUUUCUGUGAAAAGGAAUGUGAAUCACGAGUUAAAUGAACUGUAGGUUUAACCCUGGAGAACUUAGAGGAGUGGCACAACACAACAUUGUGUUAAUAUGCCUAUUGGACACUUCAGUGUAUUGCUGCCCCAUUAAUUUUGUUUGAAACCCACACAAAUUAGUAAAGGAAAGAAUGAUUAAAGGAAAAUGUGGCAAAGUUUUUCCCCCUAGUUUCCAAAUUACGUGAAGUAAACUGAACUAUACUUUGCUAAAGCUUUGUUGGCCAACACACUUAAAAGAUGAAAUGUCAGGCCAGAAAACCCACUUGAACAAAAUAAAGUUCAGUUUUUACUUGACAGUGUGGUGGUUUGAAAUACAAAGGGAAAGCAUAUUUUUGGGUUUUGUUGUGAGGUUUUGCUUUUUGUUUCUUUCCUUAAAUUUAAUUGGACAAAGUAUUUUGGAGAAUCCCGUUUUACUUAAGUUCUGUUUUGUUCAUUUCUUCCCAGGAGUUUAAGAUUCUACUAACGAUAAUUUAGACGGGUAGUUACUUAAAACAGAGCCAAGUUUCCUUAACAAGUGGACUUUUAAAUUGAAUUUUAAAGUGGAAAUCUACACCAUUGCAAGGAGAUCAAAGUAUUAUCAACUAUGGUUUUCUAAGCCUUAAAACCUUCUCUUGUCUUAGGUCCUAGCAUUUUGAGUAUCUUCAGUAGUGAUUUUAGAAUGGUCUCAUUCAUAGUUUUCUCUUAAUUAAAUUUUUUCACCCAAUUUUUUUCCUAACUAAGUCUUUAAAAUGAUUUCCAAUUUUUAUAAUGUGGUAAUUUAGGAUUUGAUUGAAAAUGGGAAAUAGUUGAUGGGUCUAACUUUUAAAAACAAAAUGAGUGUAAAUUCCUUUAGUUUGUGGUUCCUCGAGCCAUUAUACGUAAGGAAUGUAAAAUUCCCUUAACAUCAGUUUUCUGGGAUGCUUUUAAUUAGAAUGAAUUACCAUAAAGUUUUCUAAUCUAGCAGGGCAUACUUAAUGCACUAGUAAAAUUUGUAUCUCUUUAAUAGCUUAUUCCUGCCCGUUUUCAAAUCAGACUGGUAUAUUUUAUUCUCUAAUAUGAAGCCUAUUUGUUUUUUAUAUGUUUUUAAGUUUUUAUUUUAAUUUCAGCUGUUUAACAUACAGUGUAGUAUUCAUUUCAGGUGUACAAUAUAGUGAUUCCAUCACCCAGUGCUCAUCACCCAGUGCUCAUCACAAGUGCCUUCCUUAAUCCCCAUCACCUAUUUAACACAUCCCCCCCGCCAACCUCCCCCUUGGUAACCAUGUUUGUACUCCAUAAUUAAGAGUCUGUUUUUUGGUUUGUCUGUCUUUAUUUUCUCCUUUGCUCAUUUGUUUUGUUUCUUAAAUUCCACAUAUGUGUGAAAUCAUGAUAUUUGUCUUUGACUAGUUCACUUAGCAUUAUACUCUCUAGUUCCAUCCAUGUCUUCACAAAUGGCAAUAUUUCAUUCUUUUUCAUGGCUGAAUAAUCCAUUGUGUGUGUGUGUAUACACAUAUAUACACAUAUAUGUAUGUAUACAUAUAUAUGUACACACGCACACACACCACCUCUUCUUUAUUCCUCAGUGGAGGAACAGUUGGGCUGCUUCCAUAUCUUGGCUAUUGUAAAUAAUGCUGCUAUAAAUAUAGGGGUGUAUGUAUCCCUUUGAAUUAGUGUUUUUGUGUUUUGGGGGUAAGUACCCAGUAGUAAAAUUACUGGAUCGUAAGGUAGUUGUAUUUUUAACUUUUUGAGGAAUCUCCAUACUGUUUUCCAGAUUGGCUGCACCAGUUUGCAUUUCUACCAACAAUGCAAAAGUGUUCCUUUAUCUCCACAUCUUCGCCAACACCUGUUGUUUCUUGUGUUGUUGAUUUUAGCCAUGUUGACAGGAGACAUAUCUAGAAAGAAGUUGCUACAGCCAAAGAAGUUACUGCCUGUGUUCUAGGAUUUUUAUGAUUUCAGGUCUGACAUUCAGGUCUUUAAUACAUUUUUAAUUUAUUUUGUGUAUGGUGUAAGAAAGCAGUCCAGUUUCAUUCUUUUGCUUGUAGCUGGCCAGUUUUCCCAACGCUCUUUGUUGAAGAGACUGUCUUUUUCCCAUUGGAUAUUCUUUCCUGUUUUGUUGAAGAUUAAUUGAUAUGUAGUGGGUUUAUUUCUGGGCUUUCUAAUCAGUUCCAUUGAUCUGUGUAUCUAUUUUUGUGCCAUACUGUUUUGAUUACUACAGCUUUGUAAUAUAUCUUAAAGUUCAGAGUUAUGAUGCCUCCAGCUUUGCUUUGCUUUUUCAAGAUUGCUUUGGCUAUUCGGGGUUUUUUGUGGUUCCAUACAGAUUUUAGAAUUGUUCUACUUCUGUGAAAAAUGCUGUUGGCAUUUUGAUAGAGAUUGCAUUAAAUGUGUAAGUUGCUUUGGUUGUAUAGACAUUUUAACAAUAUUCUUCCAGUUUAUGAGCAUGAAAUGUCUUUCCAUUUCUUUGUGUUGUCUUCCAUUUCUUUCAUGAGUGUUUUACAGUUUUCAGAGUACAGGUCUUUCACCUCUUUGGUUAGAUUUAUUCCUAGGUGUCUUACUAUUUUUGGUGCAAAUGUAAAUGGGAUUGUCCUCUUAAUUUCUCUUGCUGCCGCUGCAGUAUUGGUGUAUAAAAAUGCAAGAUUUCUGUACAUUGAUUUUGUAUCCUGCAACUCUGCUGAAUUCAUUUAUCAGUUCUAAUAGUUUUUUGGUGGAAUCUUUUGUGUUUUCUAUAUGUGGUGAGACCAUGUCUUCUGCAAACAGUGAAAGUCUUACUACUUCCUUACCAAUUUGGAAGCCUUGUCUUUUAGUUGUCUGAUUGCUGUGGCGGGAACUUCCAGUACUGUAUUGAAAAAAAGAGGUGAGAGUGGACAUCCUUGUCUUUUCCAUGACCUUAGGUGAAAAGCUCUCCAUUUUUCCCCAUGCAGGAUGAUGUUAGCUAUGGGUUUUUCACAUAUGGCAUUUACUGCAUUGAGGUGUAUUCCCUCUAAACCUACUUUACUGAGGGAUUUUAUCAUGAAUGGAUGUUGUACUUUGUCAGAUGCUUUUUCUACAUCUAUGGAAAUGAUCAUGUGGUUCUUAUUCUUUCUUAUUUGUGUGCUAUAUCACAUUAAUUGAUUUGCGAAUUCUCAGCCACUCUUGCAGCCCAAGAAUAAAUCCUACAUGAUCGUAGUGAAUAAUUUUUUAAUGUAUUGUUGGAUUUGGUUUGCUAGUAAUUUGUUGAGAAUUUUUCAUCUGUGUUCAUCAGAGAUAUUGGCCUGGAGUUAGUGGUGUCUUUAUCUGGUUUGAUAUCAGAGUAAUGCUGGCCUCAUAGAAUGAAUUUGGAUGUUUUCCUUCCUUUUCCAUUUUUUGGAAUAGUUUGAGAAGAAUAGGUAUUAAUUCUUUUUUAAAUGUUUGGUAGAGGGGCACCUGAGUUGCUCAGUUGGUUAAACGUCUGACUUCGGCUCAGGUCAUGAUCUCACAGUUCGUGAGUUCGAGCCCCACAUUGGGUUCUGUGCUGACAGCUCAGAGCUUGGAGCCUGGAGCCUUCCUCAGUUCUGUGUCUCCCUCUCUUCUGCCCCUCCCCUGCGUGCCCUCUGUCCCUGUCUUUCUCAAAAUUAAUAAACAUUAAAAAAUUUUUAAAAAUAUUUGGUAGAAUUUGCCUGGGAAGCUGUCUGGUCCUGGCCUGUUGUUUGUUUGGAGUUUUUUGAUUAGUGACUCAAUUUUUUUGCUAGCAAUAAGUCUGUUCCAGUUUUCUGUUUCAGUUUUGGUAGCUUAUACGUUUUUAGGAAUUUAUCCAUUUCUUCUAGGCUGUCCAAUUUAUUGGUAUAUCGUUUUUCAUAAUAUUCUCAUAAUUGUAUUUCUGUGGUGUUGGUUGUUAUUUCUUCUCUCUCAUUUGUGAUUUUAUUUAUUUGAGUCCUUUCUCUUUUUUCUUGAUGAGUCUGGCUAGAGGUUUAUCAAUUUUGUUGAGUUUUUCAAAGAAUUAGCUCCUGAUUUCAUUGCUCUAUUCUAUUGCUUUUUUUAGUUUCUAUAUCAUUUGUUUCUGCUGUAAUAUUUAUUAUAUCCUUCCUUAUGCUGGUUUGGGGUUUUGUUUGUUCUUUUUCUAGCCUCUUUAGGUGUAAGGUUAGGUUGUUCAUUUGAGACUUUUAUUGCUUUUUGAGAUUGUCGUGUAUUGCUUUAAACUUCCCUCUUAGAAUUGUUUUUGGUUGCAUUCCAAAGGUUUUGAACGAUUGUGUUUUCAUUUGUUUCUGUGUACUUUGCAAUCUAUUCUUUUAUUUCCUGAUUUACGCAUUCAUUGCUUUUUAACCUCCCUUGCCAUCUUUCCAGAUUUUUUCUUGUGGUUGACUUCUGGUUUCCUAGCAUUGUGGUCAGAAAAGACGCAUAGUGUGUCUUUGAUCUUGAAUUUGUUGAGGCUUGUUUUCUGGGCUAACAUGUGAUCUAUUCUGGAGAAUGUUCUGCGUGCAAUUGAAAGGAAUGUGUAUUCUGUUUUAGGAUGGAAUGUUAUGAAUGUAUCUGCUAAAUCCAUCUGUUCAUUCAAAGCCAUUGUUUCUUUAUUGAUUUCCUCUUUAGGUCAUCUGUCCGUUGAUGUAAGUAGGGUGUGUUAAAGUCCCUUAUUAUUAUUGUAUUCUUAUCAAUUAAUUCCUUUAUGUUUGUUAUUAACUGUUUUAUGUAUUUGGUGUUCCUAUGUUGGAGGCAUAAAUAUUUACAAUCGUUAUAUCUUCUUGUUGGAUUGUCCCCUUUUUUAUUAUAUAGCAUCCUUUGUCUCUUGUUACAGUUUUUGUUUUACAUUUAUUUUUGAGAGACAGAGAGAACGCACAAGCGGGGGAGGGGGCAGAGAGCAAUGGAGAUGCAGAAUCCAAAGCAGGCUCCAGGCUCUGAACAAGCUGCCAGAACAGAGCCCAAUGUGGGGCUCAAACCCACGAACCACGAGACCAGAACCUCAGCCGAGUUGGACACUCAACCAACUGAGCCACCCAGGAGCCCCACAGUUUUUGUUUUAAAGUCUACUUUGUCCGAUAAAAAGUAUUGCUAUUCCACCUUUCGUUUGACAUUAUUUGCAUGGUAGAUGUUUCUUCAUCCCCUCACUUUCAAUCUGCCAGUGUUUUUAGAUCUAAAAGGAGUCUCUUGCAGACAGUAUGUAGAAGGAUCUUGUUUUUUAUCUAUUCUGUCACCCUAUAUCUUUCGACUGGAGUGUUUAAUCCGUUUACAUUCAAAGUAAUUAUUACAAGAUAUGUAUUCACUGCCAUUAUUUUUUUGUGAUUGUUUCUGACGAUGUCUCUGAUUCAUUCUUGUCUUUCUCUCAUGGUUUUCUGGUUUUCUUUAAUAUAUUUGGAUUUUUUUUUGUUUGUUGCAUGUUUAUUAGUGGUUUUAUAUAUGUGCUUACCAUUAGGUUUGUACGUAACCUCUUUGGCAUAUAGUAGUCUAUAUUAAGUUGAUGGGCGUUGGAAGUUUGAACCCAUUCUUUACUCCUCUCCUUCCCACAUUUUAAAUAUACAUUCUCAUAUUUUGCAUCCUUUUAUUUUGUGAGUUCCUUGACUGAUUUUUUACAGAAAUACCCAUUUUUACUGAUUUUCUGUUUCCUACCUUAAUACUAUCCCUUCUGGUCUCUGUUCUGCUCAGAGACUCCCCUUUAAUAUUUCUUUCAGGGCUUGUUUGGUAGUCAUGAACUCCUUUAGCCUUUGUCUGGGAAACACAUGAUCUCUCUUUCUAUUCUGAAUGACAGCCUUGCUAGAUAGAGUAUUCUUGGCUGCAGAUUUUUCCCAUAUAGCACUUUGGAACUAACAUGCCACUACCUUCUGACUUGGAAAGUUUCUCCUGAAAGAUCCACUGAUAGCUGUAUGGGGUUUCCCUUGUAUGUUACUGCCUUCUUUUGUCUUGUUCCUUUAAACAUUGUUUCUUUAUUUUGCCACUUUAAUUACUAUAUGUUUUGGUGUGGAUCUGCUUUUGUUGAUUUUUUUUUGGAGGGUCCUCUGUGUCUCCUGGAUCUGGAUAUCUGUUUCCUUCUCCAGGUUAGGUAAGUUUUCAACUAUUAUUUCUUCAAAUAUAUUUUUCAUCCCCAUUUCCUCUCUCUUCUGGGAUUCCUAUAAUAUGAAUGUUACUAUGCUUGAUGGAGUCAUUGAGUUCUCUAAGUCUAUUCUCGUUUUGCGUAAUUCUUUUUUCUCAGCUUGAUUACUUUCCAUUGCUCUGUCUUCUAGAUUAUUAGUUUGUUUAUGUUCUUCCAGGUUGUUGCUCAUUCCAUCAAGUGUGUUUCUCAUUUCAUUUACUUAGCCCUUUAUCCCUUCUAAGUUAUUCGUUAUUUCUGUGUUAAUGGUCUCACUGAUGCCUUCCACUCUUUUCUCAAGUCCAGUGAAUGUUUUCAUGAUCAUUACUUUAAAUUCUCUGACAUGUUACAUAUAUCUGUUUCACUUAGAUCUCUGCCCAUGGCCUUUUCCUGUUUUUCAUUUGGAACAAGUUCCAAAAUGUCUUCUCAUUUUGUCUUAGUCUCUUUGCCUGCUUCUCUGUGUUAGGAAACUGAGCUACGUCUCCUGUUCCUUGAGGGUAAUGGCCUUAUAAAGAAGAGGUCCGAUAGUGCUCUAUUGUGUAGUGUCCCCUGUUCCCCAGGGCCUGGCACUUCUGGGAAUGUCUCCAAUGUGUGCUGCAUGUGCUCACCUGUUGUGUCCUUUAGGCCAGUCAUCUAUAGAGGUUCUCUUUGUCUGCCAUGGGCAGUAUUUGGUCCCUAGCCUGAAUGUGGUGCAUUUUAACUAGGUGUGCUCUGUUCUGUUUGUGAAGUGAGACAUGUCACUAUCACCAGUAGAACUGAGGCCCUGCAAAUCUCCCACCUCAGGAA